rnacentral:rRNA from 1 species
GUGGGGAAUAUUGGGCAAUGGGGGCAACCCUGACCCAGCGACGCCGCGUGAGGGAAGAAGGCCUUAGGGUCGUAAACCUCUGUUGUGUGGGAAGAAGGAAGUGACGGUACCACACGAGGAAGUCCCGGCUAACUACGUGCCAGCAGCCGCGGUAAUACGUAGGGGACGAGCGUUGUCCGGAAUUACUGGGCGUAAAGGGCGCGUAGGCGGUCAUUUAAGUCAGCUGUGAAAUGGUCCGGCUCAACCGGAUCAUGCGGUUGAAACUGGAUGACUGGAGUGCUGGAGAUGCAAGUGGAAUUCCCAGUGUAGCGGUGAAAUGCGUAGAUAUUGGGAAGAACACCGGUGGCGAAGGCGACUUGCUGGCCAGCAACUGACGCUGAGGCGCGAAAGCCAGGGGAGCAAACGGGAUUAGAAACCCGGGUAGUCC